AACAGCUGCACGUGUGGUGACACGCGUCCAUCCUUUUGUUUAAUUUUCUGUUUUAACCACAUCACACUCAUUACUUUUUUUUCUUUGGUGGAUUGGCUCACCUCCUACGAAUUUCAAAAGAUGAAGCUGCUUCUGUUGUUGCUACUGAUGUUCGUAGUCGCAGAGUGGAUGAUUUCAGAUGCACAAAAUACCAAUUGUGUCAUUCGUCAGGGAGGAUGUUUCAGACAGUUUGCCUUGUAUAGAAUCUAUUUUCCAUGCUGUCCUGGCCUGCAGUGCUUUACAUCCGGGGAAGUCUGUUUUGUAAAUAUUGGCUUUGUAACCAAUCGGUUUCCCUGCUGUCCGGGUCUGACAUGCCAACAGGACACUGAUCACAGAAAAAUCUGCAGAUGAGCUGCUGGGACAAACUGCUGUACACACUGACAAAAUGUAAAAUGUCGAAUGUACAUGGACCUGGCAUCUGGACGUGUCAGGGUCUCUGACACUGUUGUCCUUGUGACUGUCGUGCUAUCAAUAAACAAGAUUUAUUUU